UUCAUCAAUAGCAAGUCGGACAACAAGGUGGCAGAUUCCGAUUAUGCCAACUCUAUUUCAGAAGAGGAAGAAACCAGCGACUCUGACAAAUACAUCACAAAAAAAGAUCUCGUCAGCACAUUAAAAGAUCUGGAUCGAUCAAAAGGAAAAGAGGUAGGACAGACAAACCAAGUCCCAAAACCAAGAAGCAGACUAAACACACAUACUUUCCAAUUGAUUGAAGGGCUCAGCAACGAGCAAAGGUGUGCUAUACCACUAUCUUUUGUCAAAUGGAUAGCUAGUCACACUGACGUCAGCUGCUCAGAUAUAGUUGUCAAUGGGAGAUCCAUACCAAUCAAUCCAAACACCACCAACUUCAUACUUGGUAUCCCAAAUGGAGGUUUAGAGAUCAAGCAUGACAAUGAUGCAGGAAACAUUUUUUCAUCAGCAUUAUGGGAGCACAAAACCCUUAAUUCCUUCUUUGGCACUAAGUUGCUAGCGACAAGGGUGUGA
rnacentral:lncRNA from 1 species